rnacentral:sRNA from 1 species
GCUGGGCAUGGCGGUGCACACCUGUGAUCCCAGUGGCUGCGGAGGCUGAGGCAGGAGGAUCGUAAGGUUGAGGCCAGUCUCGGCAACUUAGAGAGAACUCAAACAACUUGAAAGACCCUGUCUCAA